AAAGAGAAACUUAAUGCUGAUAGUAGAUAGGAAAAAAAGAAAGGUUUUUAUGAAAAAUACAAUUUUCUUGUUUCUGACCUUGAACUGAGUGAACUUUUUUUGUUUGUUUUCCUUUUGUAUCUUCAGGCAUAGUUUACACCUUUGCAAAGGUUACAGGACUAGUUUUGCUUGUUUGUUUUCUUAACUGGCCUUGGAGCCAAAGGGGAACUGAGGAAGGGGGUUGGGGGAGUGAUAGGCACCAGAGAUGCAUGGCUGCUCUUCUGACACCUGUGCAUUUCAGAGUGAUGACUAUGACAUGAUGUAGUGAUCCAGUUCUUUGUGCUCAUGCUUUAGUACCCUUCAGACACCAACAUUUCUUAGGAAACACAAAAAGUGGCUUCAAUUCUAGAAGAAAUCAGCAAGGAUCUCCCUUCUAAGUUGAAAGGAAAUGACCUUCAGGCCAGUAAGGUGUUAAUCCUCAUAAACCAAAACAUAGAUUCUCUGUUAAAAACCCUGGCUGUGGCUGUGAGGGGGAGGGGAAGAUAGAACAGGAACAGAGCAAACAUGGUGCUGGGGAAGGGAAGGAUGAUUUGGAAACACAGUAGGAGUUAGUGAUUUUGCCCCAUUAUUUCUUUUCCUAGGCACCCGUCAGAAGAUAAAGAUUGACCAGGUCCUCACCCUUCGUGUCUCCAGCACAGGAAGGCACACGGAAAAGGCAAAAAUAUUAUAAAUCUCAAGAGCUUUUGCAUGAAGUAAACAAUGUCCCACAAAAAUCGGGCUGUCUCCAAUUCCCAAAUCCAUUUUAUGAAACCCAUGAAGAAUGCACCGGUCCAGGUAAAUUCAGCAAGUCUGGAUCUGCGUCCUGGGAUACGUACCCUUCCACAUCUGGGAUGGGAGUCAGUGAUGUAGACAGUUCUACAGGUGUCUGGUCUAUGCUUUCCCAG